rnacentral:lncRNA from 1 species
UUCUUUUGUGCUUUACUAGAUCUAAAAUGGUGCCAUUUUAUGUAGAAAACCUGAAAGAAUACAAAUGGAAAAAUUGUGCAAGUAGGUCGUCUGGCCUGUUCAUUGAAAACCUCCAGCUUAACACUGGACACCGAGGCAUUAUGCGGGUCAGGAUAUACUGA